UUGACCUCGGAUCAGGUAGGGAUACCCGCUGAACUUAAGCAUAUCAAUAAGCGGAGGAAAAGAAACCAACAGGGAUUGCCCCCAGUUAACGGCGAGUGAAGCGGCAAGAGCUCAAAUUUGAAAUUCUGGCCCCUCCGGGUCCGAGUUGUAAUUUGCAGAGGAUGCUUCGGGCGCGGUCCCCGUCUAAGUACCCUGGAACGGGUCGUCAUAGAGGGUGAGAAUCCGUCUGGACCGGUGGCCGUGUCCGUGUGAAGCUCCUUCGACGAGUCGAGUGUUUGGGAAUGCAGCUCUUAAAUGGUUGUUAAUUCAUCCUAAAGCCUAAUUUUUGCCCGAAGCCGAUUAGGCCCCAAGUAAGAUGGUCCAAAGGUUAAAAACCCUUUGAAAAAAAAAUUUAACCACCCCUUAAAUUUUUUAAAAGGAAAGGGCCUUCCGCCAAGCUUGCCGGCGGGGGUUCAGCCGGUCCUGGUCCCGUGUUACUUCCCCGGGGGCCGGCCAACCUUCGUUUGGGCCGUUGGUUCCAAAGGGCCCCCGAAAUUUGUUGCUCCCCCCGGGGCGUCUUAUAGCCGGAGGUGCAAUGCGGCCAGCCUGGACCGAGG
rnacentral:rRNA from 1 species